rnacentral:lncRNA from 1 species
GAGAAGCCAGUCAAACCUCCCCUUGUUGAGAACAUUUUGACAGCAUAAAAUUGUUGCCGGAAUGUGACUUUAACGAAAAGUAAAAAAAAAAAAAAAAGAAAAAAAGAAAAAAAAAUCCUUCCUUCAUGCAUAUGGAGUUUUUUGGAAAAAAAAAUGGUAUUUUAAUGCUUUCUAUUAAAUUGGGACUAAAAGUGGUGUCUUAAUUUGCAUGCAUUAGCAUAUUUGCAUAUAGAUCACUGAAAUGGUGGAAGAGAGAAGAGCCUUUAAAUGAAAAUUCUUUUAAAGGCACAGGCCCGCUUCCCUCCCCACCUCCCUCUGGGAUUUAUGCUUGAUCUUUUCCUCUCACCUCCAACCCCACCUUUAUGUCUUGAUUAAGCUGUGAAUGGACAGGAGAGUCAAGGCUCUACUUCUUAGGAGCCAAUUCGGGGUGGAGUCAAGGGGCCAGAAAGUCCUGGCCCUUGAUCACCCCCUGGCAGAGCUCUGAGCUGGCCUGUCCUGGCAGUGAGUGGCUCUGGAGGACGGGCCUAUGUCCACGCCGACAGGCAGGUGGCCUGGACCCCCGGGCCUCUUCCAGCCAUUAUCCUGCCCUCUUUCUGGCUCUUCCCCUCCCACCCCCGCCCCCCGGGCCAGGUUGGUUCUAUAGAAGCCCACUGUGGGCACCUGUCCUGCCAGCCCCUGGCCCCAGAGGAGGGGAUGCUCUUCUUCCUCUGGUGUAACCCAUCUCCAUCCUCCGUUACUCUCUGCCACUGUCCUUGUUUCACUGUCUGCAGAGAACUCACUAGUUGUUUGUUUACUUGAUGAUUUGUCUCUUCCCGCCAACACCACCCUUGCCAAGGACAAACUCCACAGAAGCACAGCCCGGUGGCCGACUCAUUCAUAGCUAGACCCAUGGUGCUACUGACAACGCCCAGCGCAUUAUGGGUAUUCAGUAACUGUUCAUUGAAUGAGUGAAAGGGGGCUGGGACUCCUGCCAGGCUGAGCCUUUCCCAGUGCCAUGGUCUCAUGGUACACAGUGCCACACCCCAGCCCCCUUUAGAUGUCUUCAGCCUUGCUGGAGGAGCAGGAUUUGGGAAUUGUCCAGGGCCUUCCAGUCUGAUCCCAGGCCCUCAAAGAAUGCUUUAGCCCACCCUUGUUCCUUUGGAUGGCAGGCUGGAUGGAGUGGGGACCUGGCCUUAGGGAGCAAUCGGGCAGGGUGGCCUAUAGGAAAUGUUCAGCAUGGGGGAAAGAGCUGGGGCUGAUGAAGCUAGGGUCACCUUAUGCCAAC